rnacentral:rRNA from 1 species
AACGAACGCUGGCGGCAUGCCUAACACAUGAAAGGCGAACGAGACCCUCGGGUCUGGUGGCGCACGGGUGCGCAACGCGUGGGAACCUGCCCCUAGGGUCGGAAUAACUCCCCGAAAGGGAGGCUCAUACCGGAUAAUACCGUCGGACCAAAGAUUUAUCGUCCUUGGAUGGGCCCGCGUUUUAUUGGCUCUUUGGUAGGGUAAAAGCCUGCCAAGGCGACGAUCCAUAGCUGGUCUGAGAGGAUGAUCUGCCACACUGGGACGGCGACACGGCCCAGACUCCUACGGGCGGCUGCAGUGUGCAAUCUUGGACUCUGGGCGAAAGCCUGUUCCUGCAAUACCGCGUGAGUGAUGAAGCCCUUAGGCUUGUAGAACACUUUUACCCGGGAUGAUAAUGCCAGUCCCGGGAGUAUGUGCUCCGGCUAACUCCGUG